GACGAACGCUGGCGGCGUGCUUAACACAUGCAAGUCGAACGGAAAGGCCCUGCUUUUGUGGGGUGCUCGAGUGGCGAACGGGUGAGUAACACGUGAGUAACCUGCCCUUGACUUUGGGAUAACUUCAGGAAACUGGGGCUAAUACCGGAUAGGAGCUCCUGCUGCAUGGUGGGGGUUGGAAAGUUUCGGCGGUUGGGGAUGGACUCGCGGCUUAUCAGCUUGUUGGUGGGGUAGUGGCUUACCAAGGCUUUGACGGGUAGCCGGCCUGAGAGGGUGACCGGCCACAAUGGGACUAAGAUACGGCCCAGACUCCUACGGGAGGCAGCAGGGGGGAAUAUUGUACAAUGGGCGGAAGCCUGAUGCAGCAACGCCGCGUGCGGGAUGACGGCCUUCGGGUUGUAAACCGCUUUCGCCUGUGACGAAGCGGGAGUGACGGUAAUGGGUAAAGAAGCACCGGCUAACUACGUG
rnacentral:rRNA from 1 species